rnacentral:rRNA from 1 species
ACGGAGGAUUCGAGCGUUAUCCGGAUUUAUUGGGUUUAAAGGGAGCGUAGAUGGAUGUUUAAGUCAGUUGUGAAAGUUUGCGGCUCAACCGUAAAAUUGCAGUUGAUACUGGAUAUCUUGAGUGCAGUUGAGGCAGGCGGAAUUCGUGGUGUAGCGGUGAAAUGCUUAGAUAUCACGAAGAACUCCGAUUGCGAAGGCAGCCUGCUAAGCUGCAACUGACAUUGAGGCUCGAAAGUGUGGGUAUCAAACAG